rnacentral:tRNA from 1 species
GCCGCAAUAGCUCAGCUGGUAGAGCACGUCAUUCGUAAUGACGGGGUCGGGGGUUCGAGCCCCUCUUGCGGCACCA